UUUUCAAACUGCAUUAGAAGAGGAUGGACAGGUACACGGUUCGCAUCUACGGUCUAGCCUUGCUACUGUCUCUCCAUCUCCUAUGCUCCGCACCUACUGCUCAAUGUCGGAUCAUCGAAGAAGACGUGGAUGAUGAGAAGAUCAAUUUUCCGCAUGGGCUUUGUGUCAAUGGUAAACCGUGCAAAGAUGGAUGGCUUUGCUUGUGUUGCCUUGCGAAUCUAGAGUGCUACCCGUCCAUGGAUGCGUGCAAGAAAAACUGUUUGAAACCCUCUCCUGCUGAGAUGGUGUCGAUGACAAUGACCCGUUCUCCUUUACCUGUCCCCUCUCCCGCCUCUUCAUUAGGUUUAAUUUGAAUUACCUAUAUUUUGCCCGGGACCUAAUGGAUAUUGUGUGAAAAAAUAAUUUGGAAUAGAAGUAUCUCAUACAUUAGUCGUGGCAGUUUGAUUUGACAUGUUGCAUCAAUCGUCAUUUUUUUACUAAUUAUUGCCGGUAACUCA